rfam:Acidocella sp. MX-AZ02 genomic scaffold Contig1, whole genome shotgun sequence.
UGGCAGGAUGUGUGUUGUACCGGUACGCGCUGACGCACGCACCGGCCCACCACCGGCCUUACUCGCCUGCGGCUCGACGGAAUCCUGCUCUGCGAGGCU